AUUGAACGCUGGCGGCAGGCCUAACACAUGCAAGUCGAACGAGUGGCGGACGGGUGAGUUAUGUCUGGGAAACUGCCUGAUGGAGGGGGAUAACUACUGGAAACGGUGGCUAAUACCGCAUACCAUCAGAUGUGCCGAGAUGGGAGUAGCUUGUUGGUGGGGUAACGGCGCAUCAAGGCGACGAUCCCUAGCUGGUCUGAGAGGAUGACCGGCCACACUGGAACUGAGACACGGUCCAGACUCCUACGGUAGGCAGCAGUGGGGAAUAUUGCGCAAUGGGCGAAAGCCUGAUGUAGCAAUGCCGCGUGUAUGAAGAAGGCCUUCGGGUUGUAAAGUACUUUCAGCGGGGAGGCGUUACCCGCAGAAGAAGCACCGGCUAACUCCGUGCCAGCAGCCGCGGUAAUUC
rnacentral:rRNA from 1 species